AUUGAACGCUGGCGGCAUGCUUUACACAUGCAAGUCGAACGGUAACAGGUCAAGCUGACGAGUGGCGAACGGGUGAGUAAUGCAUCGGAACGUGCCCGGUCGUGGGGGAUAACGUAGCGAAAGUUACGCUAAUACCGCAUACGAUCUGAGGAUGAAAGCGGGGGACCGUAAGGCCUCGCGCGAUCGGAGCGGCCGAUGUCAGAUUAGGUAGUUGGUGGGGUAAAGGCCUACCAAGCCGACGAUCUGUAGCUGGUCUGAGAGGACGACCAGCCACACUGGGACUGAGACACGGCCCAGACUCCUACGGGAGGCAGCAGUGGGGAAUUUUGGACAAUGGGCGCAAGCCUGAUCCAGCAAUGCCGCGUGCAGGAAGAAGGCCUUCGGGUUGUAAACUGCUUUUGUACGGAGCGAAAAGGCUCCCUCUAAUACGGGGGGUUGAUGACGGUACCGUAAGAAUAAGCACCGGCUAACUACGUGCCAGCAGCCGCAGUAAAAC
rnacentral:rRNA from 1 species